CCGCCCGCAGCCUCCGACGUGCCCUGUCCUUCCAGGGCUGGAGGGAGCUCAGUGGAAGUGAGGAAAAUCAAGCUCAGCUGUGUGUCUCCCUGAUGGAUUGGCUGCCCACCAAACCAGGAGCUGAUUUGCCUUACUGAAAAACCCAGUUGUUCACAGUUCAGGGCAACUGCAUAUUUUUCAGCAGAGGCACUCAAUCAGCUGAAAAAUAUUCAUGUCUCCCGGCCUCACUGAAGAUGCAAGGGGUUUCUGCUGGGGAUUUCUAGGUAAGUUACUUUCCUAAUGCAGACACUAUUCUGUAUUCCUUCUUCU
rnacentral:lncRNA from 1 species